UUGAACGCUGGCGGCAGGCCUAACACAUGCAAGUCGAGCGGCAGCGGGAAAGUAGCUUGCUACUUUUGCCGGCGAGCGGCGGACGGGUGAGUAAUGCCUGGGAAAUUGCCCAGUCGAGGGGGAUAACAGUUGGAAACGACUGCUAAUACCGCAUACGCCCUACGGGGGGGGAAAGCAGGGGGACCUUCGGGCCUUGCGCGAUCGGAUAUGCCCAGGUGGGAUUAGCUAGUUGGUGAGGUAAUGGCUCACCAAGGCGACGAUCCCUAGCUGGUCGGAGAGGAUGAUCAGCCACACUGGAACUGAGACACGGUCCAGACUCCUACGGGAGGCAGCAGUGGGGAAUAUUGCACAAUGGGGGAAACCCUGAUGCAGCCAUGCCGCGUGUGUGAAGAAGGCCUUCGGGUUGUAAAGCACUUUCAGCGAGGAGGAAAGGUCAGUAGCUAAUAUCUGCUGGCUGUGACGUUACUCGCAGAAGAAGCACCGGCUAACUCCGUG
rnacentral:rRNA from 1 species